AUCCCAUACACCGUCAGCUACUAACGGUGUAACUAAUAGUACUAUAUGUUGUUGGAUUCUUAAAUCUUAUCAACAUGCAGCUAUUAAAGGGAUCUUUUCACGCUUUGGUCAAUUGACAAAAUAAAACAAAUGUUUCAGAUUCGCGAAUUUUCGUUAUAACGAUUCCCAAGACAAAAAAUGCAGUGCUAUACUAGUCGUGCUGACUUCCUAAUCAACGUUAUAUAAACGGAUGAGAUCUUUCGGACGUCUUAAAAAGUUUCUCGGCCUUGCUGAGACAGAAAAAAAGGUACAACGAACAAGGCGAUGCAAUCAUUAACAUUCAACAAAUGAUCUCGCGGAACAUUACAAAUCUUCCGGUGGAAUAAUUGGUAACAAUUGCGGAUACAAAUCGGAUUCUAAAACGCACGAAACUUCCACAUAUCUUCCUCGUGAAAAAAGGUCAUUAAACAUCGUAAUAGCGGACUAUAAAAAGCGCGUCAAAAACAACAAAACAAUUUUCAUUAAACCACGAAACAAUAGUGGGCACUAAAGUCGCAUGGGACUUACCCAUCUGCCGUCGAAACAAUAAAGUAUUAAAAUACUGCAGACUAGCUGCUCACAAGCUUAUCCAGUGAACACAUUUAGCAAACAUUUAAAAAAAACUUACUGGACAUUGGUGGAAUCUCUCUUUGAUACUAAUUGACCUUUAUAACUAUAAGUGUGUUUGCAUUAUAUUUCUGUAGCUUGUUCAUUCAUAAUUGCAUUAUGAGUGCUUUUUGUGUAUUUACUUUGUGAUCCAGCAAUGUUUGGAUAAAAAUGUACAUUUCAUAUUGGCGAAUAAAGUAUAUUCAAACAAAAAAUA